rnacentral:misc_RNA from 1 species
UCUCCGUUGGUGAACCAGCGGAGGGAUCAUUACCGAGUUAACAACUCCCAAACCCUUUGUGAACAUACCUAUCGUUGCUUCGGCGGCACACGCCCCGGCUCCCGGAAUCAGGCGCCCACCGAAGGACCCAAACUCUUGUCUUUACUGGAUGUAUUAUCUGAGUGACAAAACAAAAUAAAUCAAAACUUUUAACAACGGAUCUCUUGGCGCUGGCAUCGAUGAAGAACGCAGC